rnacentral:lncRNA from 1 species
CCUCCGCGCACCCGCCGCACACGUGCUCGCGGCCAAGGAAGAGGAACUGUCCGGUUGACCCGGAGGAGGCAGCGGCUCGCGGGCAGGCCAGAGGCGCAUGGAGGCGCCGCGGGGGCGGCGCGGCUGGCCAGCGGCGCGGGGGAGCGCGCACGCCGCGCCCCGGCCUCCCCGGGGACCUGGCCGGCCGCUGCCCGCACUUCCUGCAGCUUGCGGCUGCUUGGAGGAGCGCGGAGCCCGCUGAGCGUGCGCCAGACGCGUGGCGGGACAGGUGUAGCCCGGAGCCUCGGGCGCCACGCUCAGAAGGGCUGGGCGGGCUCGACUGGCCCGGAGUUGGCUUGCCGCUCGCGGAACUCCUGUCCCCGCCACGCAGGCCGGGCGGCCCGGCACUUGCGGCGAGGAGAGUCGCGGCGGUCGCACCGGCGCGGUCCUGAUGCUCGCUGCCCGCGGCGGGCCUCGCGCCGGCCCCAGGACCUAGCCGAGCGCGGUCGCUCCCGGCGCCUCUCUCUCUGCUGCUCGGAGCGUCCUGGCUGUGCGCGUCCAAGGGCGGCUGCUGCUGCAGCGCAGAGCGAGGGAGACGAGGACGGCCCGGGCGAGCGGUCGGCGGCGGCGGGCGUCGGGCGAGGACAUGGACGAGUCGUCGCUGCUGGACCUGCUGGAGUGCUCCGUGUGUCUGGAGCGCUUGGACACCACGGCCAAGGUGCUGCCGUGCCAGCACACCUUCUGCCGCCGCUGCCUGGAGAGCAUCGUGUGCUCGCGCCACGAGCUGCGCUGCCCCGAGUGCCGCAUCCUGGUGGGCUGCGGCGUGGACGAGCUGCCCGCCAACAUCCUGCUAGUGCGCCUGCUGGACGGCAUCCGCCAGCGGCCGCGUGCGGGCGCGAGUCCCGGCGGCAGCCCGCCCGCGCGCCCCGGCCCGGGCCCCAGUGCAGCCCCGGCCCUCGCCGGCGGCGGGGGCGGCGCGGCCGGCAGCGCCCCGGGCUCCCCAGUCUUUCUCCCCGCAGCUGCGGGCAGCGCCGCGGCCGGCCUGUGCGAACUGGUGACCAGCAGGAGCGCGCCCGUGGCCAAGCUGGUCCCUCCUUCCCUGGGCGUGAAAGCCCCACUUGA